rnacentral:tRNA from 1 species
UGCGGUUUGGUGUAAUUGGUAACAUAACGGGCUCAUAACCCGAAGUCGAGGUUCGAGUCCUCAAUCCGCUACUA